ensembl:lncRNA
AUGACUCAUUACACCAGGUUACUCAUUAUACCAGGUUACUCAUUACACCAGGUUACACCAGAUUACUCAUUACACCAGAUUACUCAUUACACCAGGUUACUCAUCACACCAGGUUACUCAUUACACCAGGUUACUCAUUACACCAGGUUACUCAUCACACCAGGUUACUUAUUACACCAGGUUACUCAUUACACCAGGUUACUCAUCACACCAGAUUACUCAUUACACCAGGUUACUCAUCACACCAGGUUACUUAUUACACCAGGUUACUCAUUACACCAGGUUACUCAUUACACCAGGUUACUUAUUACACCAGGUUACUUAUUACACCAGAUUACUUAUUACACCAGGUUACUCAUUACACCAGAUUACUCAUUACACCAGAUUACUCAUUACACCAGGUUACUCAUCACACCAGAUUACUCAUUACACCAGGUUACUCAUUACUCCAGGUUACUCAUUACACCAGGUUACUUAUUACACCAGAUUACUUAUUACACCAGGUUACUUAUUACACCAGGUUACUCAUUACACCAGGUUUCUCAUCACACCAGAUUACUCAUUACACCAGGUUACUCAUUACACCAGGUUACUCAUCACACCAGGUUACUUAUUACACCAGGUUACUCAUUACACCAGGUUUCUCAUCACACCAGAUUACUCAUUACACCAGGUUACUCAUCACACCAGGUUACUUAUUACACCAGGUUACUCAUUACACCAGGUUUCUCAUCACACCAGAUUACUCAUUACACCAGGUUACUCAUUACACCAGGUUACUCAUUACACCAGGUUACUCAUCACACCAGGUUACUUAUUACACCAGGUUACUCAUUACACCAGGUUUCUCAUCACACCAGAUUACUCAUUACACCAGGUUACUCAUUACACCAGGUUACUUAUUACACCAGGUUACUCAACACACCAGGUUACUCAUCACACCAGGUUACUCAUUACACCAGGUUACUCAUCACACCAGGUUACUCAUCACACCAGGUUACUUAUUACACCAGGUUACUCAUUACACCAGAUUACUCAUCACACCAGGUUACUCAUUACACCAGGUUACUCAUUACACCAGGUUACUCAUUACACCAGGUUACUCAUUACACCAGAUUACUCAUCACACCAGGUUACUCAUUACACCAGGUUACUCAUUACACCAGGUUACUCAUUACACCAGGUUACUCAUUACACCAGGUUACUCAUUACACCAGAUUACUCAUCACACCAGGUUACUUAUUACACCAGGUUACUUAUUACACCAGGUUACUCAUCACACCAGGUUACUUAUUACACCAGGUUACUCAUUACACCAGAUUACUCAUCACACCAGGUUACUCAUUACACCAGGUUACUCAUUACACCAGGUUACUCAUUACACCAGGUUACUCAUUACACCAGAUUACUCAUCACACCAGGUUACUUAUUACACCAGGUUACUUAUUACACCAGGUUACUCAUCACACCAGGUUACUUAUUACACCAGGUUACUCAUUACACCAGAUUACUCAUCACACCAGGUUACUCAUUACACCAGGUUACUCAUUACACCAGGUUACUCAUUACACCAGGUUACUCAUUACACCAGAUUACUCAUCACACCAGGUUACUCAUUACACCAGGUUACUCAUUACACCAGGUUACUCAUUACACCAGGUUACUCAUUACACCAGGUUACUCAUUACACCAGAUUACUCAUCACACCAGGUUACUCAUUACACCAGGUUACUCAUUACACCAGGUUACUCAUUACACCAGGUUACUCAACACACCAGGUUACUCAUUACACCAGAUUACUCAUCACACCAGGUUACUCAUUACACCAGGUUACUCAUUACACCAGGUUACUCAUUACACCAGGUUACUCAUCACACCAGGUUACUUAUUACACCAGGUUACUCAUUACACCAGGUUACUCAUCACACCAGGUUACUCAUCACACCAGGUUACUCAUUACACCAGGUUACACCAGGUUACUCAUCACACCAGGUUACACCAGGUUACUCAUUACACCAGGUUACACCAGGUCACACCAGGUUACUCAUCACACCAGGUUACACCAGGUUACUCAUCACACCAGGUUACUCAUCACACCAGGUUACUCAUCACACCAGGUUACUCAUUACACCAGGUUACACCAGGUUACUCAUCACACCAGGUUACACCAGGUUACUCAUUACACCAGGUUACUCAUCACACCAGGUUACUCAUUACACCAGGUUACUCAUUACACCAGGUUACUCAUUACACCAGGUUACUCAUCACACCAGGUUACUUAUUACACCAGGUUACUCACUACACCAGGUUACUCAUUACACCAGGUUACUCAUUACACCAGGUUACACCAGGUUACUCAUCACACCAGGUUACACCAGGUUACUCAUUACACCAGGUUACUCAUUACACCAGGUUACUCAUUACACCAGGUUACUCAUUACACCACGUUACUCAUUACACCAGGUUACACCAGAUUACUCAUUACACCAGGUUACUCAUCACACCAGGUUACGCCAGGUUACUCAUCACACCAGGUUACUCAUUACACAAGGUUACUCAUCACACCAGAUUACUCAUUACACCAGGUUACUCAUCACACCAGGUUACACCAGGUUACUCAUCACACCAGGUUACUCAUUACACCAGGUUACUCAUUACACCAGGUUACACCAGGUUACUCAUCACACCAGGUUACACCAGGUUACACCAGGUUACUCAUCACACCAGGUUACUCAUUACACCAGGUUACUCACUACACCAGGUUACACCAGGUUACUCAUCACACCAGGUUACUCAUUACACCAGGUUACUCAUUACACCAGGUUACACCAGGUUACUCAUCACACCAGGUUACACCAGGUUACUCAUUACACCAGGUUACUCAUUACACCAGGUUACACCUGGUUACUCAUUACACCAGGUUACACCAGAUUACUCAUUACACCAGGUUACUCAUUACACCAGGUUACUCAUUACACCAGGUUACACCUGGUUACUCAUUACACCAGGUUACACCAGGUUACUCAUCACACCAGGUUACUCAUUACACCAGGUUACUCAUUACACCAGGUUACACCAGGUUACUCAUUACACCAGGUUACACUAGGUUACUAA